rnacentral:rRNA from 1 species
GCUAACUACGUGCCAGCAGCCGCGGUAAUACGUAGGGCGCAAGCGUUGUCCGGAAUUAUUGGGCGUAAAGAGCUCGUAGGCGGUCAGUCGCGUCUGCUGUGAAAACCCGAGGCUCAACCUCGGGCCUGCAGUGGGUACGGGCUGACUAGAGUGCGGUAGGGGAGACUGGAAUUCCUGGUGUAGCGGUGGAAUGCGCAGAUAUCAGGAGGAACACCGAUGGCGAAGGCAGGUCUCUGGGCCGCAACUGACGCUGAGGAGCGAAAGCAUGGGGAGCGAACAGGAUUAGAUACCCCUGUAGUC